AUGAGGUUGCAUAGCAAAACCACGCUGUCCUCGAACAGCCAUUCAGCGCCGCUCCUGACUUGGUCAGCCGCGCCACUGGACUCGAGGAAAGCUUUGUCAUUGCUCCUGAGCCCCGUGGAACCACAGCCUCUCCGACACCACUUGACUUCACUCACGCCCGCCUGGCCCACUAGGCACCCCUCUAAAAGCCUCGUCCCGUUCGCCUUUCCCGUCACCCGCACACUCCCUGACACUCUCCAUGCCUUUCUGAAAGAAAAGAAAACAACAGCGUGGCUCCGUGUCCAAGCAACCCAAGUCUCCCCACAGGGGGGCCGAAGCGGGGGCCAGCCCUCCCUCCCCGGAGUUCAAGUUCAAUACCUGGCCCAGACGGGCGGGGGCCGCCUUGCCUCUUACUUAUCGCUCUCCAGCUUGGCAUCCUGGAGGCCAGGGGACACGCCAGUUAGAAGACCGCAGAGAGAGAGAGAGAAACAUCACAAACACCACUUCGCUGACCUAUGGGUGAGUCGCUCCAGUCUUUUUCGGGGCUACGAUUAGAAUCCUGAACCAAAAGACUGUGACCUCCAGGCAACGCUCCAAAGGCACUGUGGGAAGGGCAAACUGCCCAGGAGGAAUCCACCUGGGGCUUGCAGUAUCAAGCCAUCCAAGCCGGCUUGGAAGGAGAGCCCAGUCCUGGAAGGGAGAGAGGGGAAAGGGUCCCAAGGUUUGGGAUGCUGGAAAUUAAUAAGGAAAGCCCAGAUCUCCCACUUCCUGGUUCCACUCAUCUGUUCCAGAGACACGAAGACUAGGGCACUUUGAGAACUGACGAUUGUACGAGCACUGUCUCUAUAUCACCCAGAAGUGAAAUGACUCUCUUUGUGGUUCCUGGAUCUCUGCCUAUCUGGACGGAAAUUAAGGAUCCCAGCAGCAGAUUAGAAGCUGAGGUUCUGAAGCUGUGGUGUUCCAGGCUAUGAAAAUGGAAAAUACAGAAUGCCAACUAUACUUCCGGAAUGUGGAAGUAAUUUUGAACCUUAGGAUUUGGGGGACAGUCUCUCAAAGUUUGUAGGUAGUUGACUAGUAGGGGUAGUCUAGCCAUUGGUCAUAGAUGGCUACAAGGAAUGCCCACCCUAAAGUAGGGUAAAGUACCUGAGUGCAAGACACCAAACCUUUUUCUGACCAGGAAGUGGAGUCCAAAGAGCCCAAUAAAGUUGAGGGAGAAACAGCUGAAGAGAAAUGA
ensembl:lncRNA